GACGAACGCUGGCGGCGUGCUUAACACAUGCAAGUCGAACGGAAAGGCCCUGCUUGCAGGGUGCUCGAGUGGCGAACGGGUGAGUAACACGUGGGUGAUCUGCCCCUUAUUUUGGGAUAAGCCUGGGAAACUGGGUCUAAUACUGGAUAGGACCAUGCUGUAGGUGGUGUGGUGGAAAGAUUAGUUUCGGUAAGGGAUGAGCUCGCGGCCUAUCAGCUUGUUGGUGGGGUAAUGGCCUACCAAGGCGUCGACGGGUAGCCGGCCUGAGAGGGUGGACGGCCACAUUGGGACUGAGAUACGGCCCAGACUCCUACGGGAGGCAGCAGUGGGGAAUAUUGCACAAUGGGCGCAAGCCUGAUGCAGCGACGCCGCGUGGGGGAUGACGGCCUUCGGGUUGUAAACUCCUUUCAGCCAUGACGAAGCCCUUGUGGUGACGGUAGUGGGAGAAGAAGCACCGGCUAACUACGUG
rnacentral:rRNA from 1 species